GACGAACGCUGGCGGCGUGCCUAAUACAUGCAAGUAGAACGCUGAAGGGAGAGCUUGCUCUUCUGGAUGAGUUGCGAACGGGUGAGUAACGCGUAGGUAACCUGCCUGGUAGCGGGGGAUACCUAGUGGAAACGAUAGCUAAUACCGCAUAACAGCAAAUGUUGCAUGACAUUUGCUUAAGAGGUGCAAUUGCAUCACUACCAGAUGGACCUGCGUUGUAUUAGCUAGUUGGUGGGGUAACGGCUCACCAAGGCGAAGAUACAUAGCCGACCUGAGAGGGUGAUCGGCCACACUGGGACUGAGACACGGCCCAGACUCCUACGGGAGGCAGCAGUAGGGAAUCUUCGGCAAUGGACGGAAGUCUGACCGAGCAACGCCGCGUGAGUGAAGAAGGUUUUCGGAUCGUAAAGCUCUGUUGUAAGAGAAGAACGAGUGUGAGAGUGGAAAGUUCACACUGUGACGGUAUCUUACCAGAAAGGGACGGCUAACUACGUGCCAGCCGCCGCAGUAA
rnacentral:rRNA from 1 species